rnacentral:rRNA from 1 species
CCUACGGGAGGCUGCAGUGGGGAAUAUUGCACAAUGGGGGAAACCCUGAGGCAGCGACGCCGCGUGAGUGAAGAAGUAUUUCGGUACGUAAAGCCCUAUCAGCAGGGAAGAAAAUGACUGUACCGGUCUAAGAAGCCCCGGCUAACUACGUGCCAGAAGGCGCGUGAAUACGUAAGGGGCAAGCGUUAUCCGGAUUUAUUGGGUUUAAAGGGAGCGUAGACGGCAGCGCAAGUCUGGAGUGAAAUCCCAUGGAUUAACCAUGGAACUGCUUUGGAGACUGUGCAGCUAGAGUGCAGGAGAGGUAAGCGGAAUUCCUAGUGUAGCGGUGAAAUGCGUAGAUAUUAGGAGGAACACCAGUGGCGAAGGCGGCUUACUGGACUGUAACUGACGUUGAGGCUCGAGAGCAUGGGGAGCAAACAGGAUUAGAUACCCCGGUAGUC